rnacentral:rRNA from 1 species
GAUGAACGCUGGCGGCGUGCCUAAUACAUGCAAGUCGAGCGAACGGACGAGAAGCUUGCUUCGCUGAUGUUAGCGGCGGACGGGUGAGUAACACGUGGAUAACCUACCUAUAAGACUGGGAUAACUUCGGGAAACCGGAGCUAAUAGCGGAUAAUAUUUUGAACCGCAUGGUGCAAAAGUGAAAGACGGUCUUGCUGUCACUUAUAGAUGGAUCCGCGCUGCAUUAGCUAGUUGGUAAGGUAACGGCUUACCAAGGCAACGAUGCAUAGCCGACCUGAGAGGGUGAUCGGCCACACUGGAACUGAGACACGGUCCAGACUCCUACGGGAGGCAGCAGUAGGGAAUCUUCCGCAAUGGGCGAAAGCCUGACGGAGCAACGCCGCGUGAGUGAUGAAGGUCUUCGGAUCGUAAAACUCUGUUAUUAGGGAAGAACAUAUGUGUAAGUAACUGUGCACAUCUUGACGGUACCUAAUCAGAAAGCCACGGCUAACUACGUG